CAGUCGAUCUGCUGGGGGCAGAUAAAAUGGAUAUGGGUGUCGAUCCCGCCUGCCGUCAGGAUCAUCCCCUCCCCUGCCAAAGCCUCCGUGGAUGCGCCAAUGGUCAUGCCCUUUGUCACGCCAUCCAUGAUAUCCGGAUUUCCGGCCUUUCCGAUACCUGCAAUUUUUCCGUCCCGGAUCCCGAUAUCCGCCUUGAAUAUCCCCGUAUAGUCGAUCACCAGCGCAUUGGUGAUAACCAGAUCCAGAUCGCCGUCUUCAUGAGUGGUUCUUACCGACUGUCCCAUGCCGUCCCG
rfam:Lachnospiraceae bacterium 3_1_57FAA_CT1 genomic scaffold acsNT-supercont1.1, whole genome shotgun sequence.